ACCUGGCGGCGAGUGGCGAACGGGUGAGUAAUAUAUCGGAACGUACCCAAGAGUGGGGGAUAACGUAGCGAAAGUUACGCUAAUACCGCAUACGAUCUAAGGAUGAAAGCAGGGGACCGCAAGGCCUUGUGCUCCUGGAGCGGCCGAUAUCUGAUUAGCUAGUUGGUGGGGUAAAGGCCCACCAAGGCAUCGAUCAGUAGCUGGUCUGAGAGGACGACCAGCCACACUGGAACUGAGACACGGUCCAGACUCCUACGGGAGGCAGCAGUGGGGAAUUUUGGACAAUGGGCGCAAGCCUGAUCCAGCAAUGCCGCGUGAGUGAAGAGGGCCUUCGGGUUGUAAAGCUCUUUUGUCAGGGAAGAAACGGUGAAGGCUAAUAUCCUUUGCUAAUGACGGUACCUGAAGAAUAAGCACCGGCUAACUACGUGCCAGCAGCCGCGGUAAUACGUAGGGUGCAAGCGUUAAUCGGAAUUACUGGGCGUAAAGCGUGCGCAGGCGGUUUUGUAAGUUUGUCGUGAAAUCCCCGGGCUCAACCUGGGAAUGGCGAUGAAGACUGCAAGGCUAGAGUUUGGCAGAGGGGGGUAGAAUUCCACGUGUAGCAGUGAAAUGCGUAGAUAUGUGGAGGAACACCGAUG
rnacentral:rRNA from 1 species